rnacentral:misc_RNA from 1 species
AGAAGAACUAGAAGAAGAAGUAGAAGAAAAAGAAGUAGAAGUAGAAGUAGAAGAAGAAGUAGAAGAAAAAGAAGAAGAAGAAGAAGUAGAAGAAGAAGAAGACUACGCUCAAAAUGCGGGACCUUCCGGAUGAGUCUAAAAUAAGUCGUUAAGCAAAAUUCAAUCUUUGAUACACCUAGAAAACAUAAACUAAGAGAAAAGAUAAAAAAAACAGGAACUUUAUUUAAAAAAAAAAUUAAAUCAUUACAGCGAAGAGCUAGAUGUCUUUAAAACAGGAACUUGCCCUUCAGAGGAAUCAUCAAUUACUUAAAAACGCAAUUUUCGUUGACACAGAUUUAUAUAAUUCAUUAAAUCAAAACAUGGCUGCAAUAGAUUUA